rnacentral:rRNA from 1 species
CCUACGGGAGGCAGCAGUGAGGAAUAUUGGUCAAUGGGCUUACGCCUGAACCAGCCAAGUCGCGUGAGGGAAGACUGCCCUAUGGGUUGUAAACCUCUUUUGUCAGGGAGCAAUUGGCGCUACGUGUAGCGUUAUCGAGAGUACCUGAAGAAAAAGCAUCGGCUAACUCCGUGCCAGCAGCCGCGGUAAUACGGAGGAUGCGAGCGUUAUCCGGAUUUAUUGGGUUUAAAGGGUGCGUAGGCGGAAUGCCAAGUCAGCGGUAAAAUCGCGGGGCUCAACCUCGCUCCGCCGUUGAAACUGGCGGUCUUGAGUGGGCGAGAAGUAGGCGGAAUGCGUGGUGUAGCGGUGAAAUGCAUAGAUAUCACGCUGAACUCCGAUUGCGAAGGCAGCAUACCGGAGCCCAACUGACGCUGAAGCACGAAAGCGUGGGUAUCGAACAGGAUUAGAUACCCGGGUAGUC